rnacentral:lncRNA from 1 species
CAUCCUCAUGAUAAUCCUAUGAUCAGAAGUAUUUAAAAAUUAAAUAUAUGUCUCUAAUUCUUAACACCUUGAGAAUAUAUAUCGAAAGUUAAUUUUAUGGAUGAUUCAAGGAUACAUCACACUUGAAUGAAAAAUAAACUUACCCUUUUAUUGAUCAUAUCAAUGUACUAAGUAUAAAAUUAUCUUAGAGUAAUUACAAUAUGUCAGCCAUAUUAGUU